rnacentral:lncRNA from 1 species
AUGGAUCUGUGGUGUACUACGGGGUAAAUUCUAGUUUAAGGUGAUAAUAUGGUAUAAUAUGUUUUUUUUUUUUUUGAAAAAGUAACAUUGAGACAUUAAAAAAACAAAAAAAAAAUUGUUGUAGUUAAAAAAUUAUUGCUAUAUAUAAACAAAAACAUUGAAGAGACGUCUAGAUAUGGACAAAUGCAUGGGCUGUGUUGUGUGUAUCAUAAUUUGCCGCGAGCUUCGUUUAGUCCUUUUCUUGGUCCACAUACAUAUUUUGCACAUUGGAUCUAAUUUAUUCUUUCAAAUGC